rnacentral:rRNA from 1 species
CACCCGCAGCUCGAGUGGUGGUCACUUUUAUUGAGCCUAAAGCGUUUGUAGCCGGUUUUGCAAAUCUUCAGAUAAAUUCCUCUGCUUAACAGAUGAUCUUCUGAAGAGACUGCGAGACUUGGGACCGGGUGAGGUUGAAGGUACUUCCGGGGUAGGGGUAAAAUCCUGUAAUCCUGGAAGGACGACCGGUGGCGAAGGCGUUCAACUAGAACGGAUCCGACGGUGAGGAACGAGGGCUAGGGUAGCAAACCGGAUUAGAUACCCGGGUAGUCCUAGCUGUAAACACUGCCCACUUGGUGUUGCCCCUCCGAUGAGGGGAGGCAGUGCCGGAGCGAAGGUGUUAAGUGGGCCGCUUGGGGAGUAUGGUCGCAAGGCUGAAACUUAAAGGAAUUGGCGGGGGAGCACCGCAACGGGAGGAGCGUGCGGUUUAAUUGGAUUCAACGCCGGAAAACUCACCGGGAGCGACCUUUGGAUGAGAGUCAGCCUGAUGAGCUUACUCGAUAGAAGGAGAGGUGGUGCAUGGCCGUCGUCAGCUCGUACCGUAGGGCGUUCACUUAAGUGUGAUAACGAGCGAGACCCCCAUCUCUAAUUGCUAACGUGCAUUCGCGUGCACGCGCACUUUAGAGGGACCGCCAGUGCUAAACUGGAGGAAGGAGGGGUCGACGGCAGGUCAGUACGCCCCGAAUCUCCCGGGCAACACGCGCGCUACAAAGGGCAGGACAAUGAGUUGCCACCUCGAAAGGGGGAGCUAACCUCGAAACCUGUUCGUAGUUAGGAUUGAGGGCUGUAACUCGCCCUCAUGAAUGUGGAUUCCGUAGUAAUCGCGGGUCAACAGCCCGCGGUGAAUAUGCCCCUGCUCCU